CAGGCCUAACACAUGCAAGUCGGACGGGAUCCAUCGGAGAGCUUGCUCGAAGAUGGUGAGAGUGGCGCACGGGUGCGUAACGCGUGAGCAACCUACCUCUAUCAGGGGGAUAGCCUCUCGAAAGAGAGAUUAACACCGCAUAACAUAUCUGACCGGCAUCGGUUAGCUAUUAAAUAUUUAUAGGAUAGAGAUGGGCUCGCGUGACAUUAGCUAGUUGGUAGGGUAACGGCUUACCAAGGCGACGAUGUCUAGGGGCUCUGAGAGGAGAAUCCCCCACACUGGUACUGAGACACGGACCAGACUCCUACGGGAGGCAGCAGUAAGGAAUAUUGGUCAAUGGGCGGAAGCCUGAACCAGCCAUGCCGCGUGCAGGAUGACUGCCCUAUGGGUUGUAAACUGCUUUUGUCCAGGAAUAAACCUAGAUACGUGUAUCUAGCUGAAUGUACUGGAAGAAUAAGGAUCGGCUAACUCCGUGCCAGCAGCCGCGGUAAUACGGAGGAUCCGAGCGUUAUCCGGAUUUAUUGGGUUUAAAGGGUGCGUAGGCGGCCUAUUAAGUCAGGGGUGAAAUACGGUGGCUCAACCAUCGCAGUGCCUUUGAUACUGAUGGGCUUGAAUCCAUUUGAAGUGGGCGGAAUAAGACAAGUAGCGGUGAAAUGCAUAGAUAUGUCUUAGAACUCCGAUUGCGAAGGCAGCUCACUAAGCUGGUAUUGACGCUGAUGCACGAAAGCGUGGGGAUCGAACAGGAUUAGA
rnacentral:rRNA from 1 species